GCUUGGGUGGCUCAGUCGGUUAAGCGUCUGACUUCAGCUCAGGUCAUGAUCUUGAGGUUCGUGAGUUCGAGCCCCGCGUCAGGCU
rnacentral:tRNA from 1 species